UACAGAGGGGGCGAGCGUUGUUCGGAAUUACUGGGCGUAAAGGGCGCGUAGGCGGCCAACUAAGUCGGACGUGAAAUCCCCUGGCUCAACCAGGGAACUGCGUCUGAUACUGGAUGGCUUGAAUCCGGGAGAGGGAUGUGGAAUUCCAGGUGUAGCGGUGAAAUGCGUAGAUAUCUGGAGGAACACCGGUGGCGAAGGCGGCAUCCUGGACCGGUAUUGACGCUGAGGCGCGAAAGCCAGGGGAGCAAACGGG
rnacentral:rRNA from 1 species